rnacentral:Y_RNA from 1 species
GGCUGGUCUGAAGGUGCUGAGGUAUCUCACUCAAUUGCUCAUGUCAGGUGCAGAAUGAUCCUUCUAAUCGCCCCCUUCCCACUGCUGCACUUGACUAUUGA